CGGCUUCAUGGAUAAUCAUUUGAGUGAUUUGGUGAGAAACGAUGAUGAGAAAGAAGAUUUGAGAAUGAGAAAAUCAUAGAGAUUUCUGAAUGGUAUCAGAGCUCUGAUAAGCUCUCACGGUUGGAGUUCUAUCAUGGCUGAUGUGAAUUCUUCUGAAUCUACAUCGAAUUCAUCGUCAUCAUCUACAUCAACAAUGAGUGCU
rnacentral:lncRNA from 1 species